UACAGAGGGGGCAAGCGUUAUUCGGAAUUAUUGGGCGUAAAGGGCGCGUAGGCGGCCUGGCAAGUGGAAGGUGAAAUCCCUCGGCUUAACCGAGGAACUGCCCUCCAAACUGCUUGGCUUGAGUCCGGGAGAGGUGAGUGGAAUUCCCAGUGUAGCGGUGAAAUGCGUAGAUAUUGGGAGGAACACCAGUGGCGAAGGCGGCUCACUGGACCGGAACUGACACUGAAGAACGAAAGCCAGGGGAGCAAACGGG
rnacentral:rRNA from 1 species